AGAGGGAGUGUCUUAUCAUCUUAUGUAAUAUGUAUUAAGGCAAUUUCAAUUUUCGUAAAAUGCCUUGGUAGCAGUAAAUAGGCCUGGGAUGGAUCCGAAUAUCAUAAAAUUUAGGAUAUCAAAUAGGCUGGUAGGCCUGGUAGUGACCUCGGAAGUAUUGUUCAGUAGUUCUGGCGGGCUUCUUUUCUUGUUUUGCGUUUCAUUCUUCGCACUAGUGAGCUUCAUUCAAUCACUGAACGUUGAUAAUAGUUUUCAAGAAGAGAUCAUGACUCUCCAGCUAGUUCAAACUUCCCCGAUUAAGAGGAGGUGGUCAAGACCAUAGGCAGCUUGAGGCUGGUUCAAUAACAUCAUGCAUUGUACGGUGGAUGUGAAGAAGUAGACCAUUAUCUCGACAAUAAUAAGCAAACUAUAUCCUUCUGGUGUAAGUGCGCUGCUGCUUCUUGGCCUCGCUAGUUAUGUUUGCCGGAAGUACGGUCAGUGUGAGGGGUGGCAUUGUACAUGUGCUUUUCAGUUUUCCAUCGGAUCCAUAUAUUUAAUAUUCAGAUUUGGAUUCGUGGCUUUUAGAUAUCCUGAUAUCCGUCUAGAUAUUAUAUUACCUGCGGAUAUUUGGAUCUCGAUUUGAAUCCAUAAAAGUAAUUAUAAAAAAAAAAAAUUUACGAUACUAAAACUCUAAAAAUAAUACAUAAAUUAAAUAUUUAUUCAAGAUUUGUAAAUAUAUAUAUAUAUGUAUGAUAUUAUAAAAAUUAAAAUAAAAUAUGAUAAGAAUAAUUUAUGUAUAAAUUAUUAUAAUCAAAUAUAAAUAAUAAUGAAAUUUAAAAAAAAUAUAUAUUUUAAAAUAAAGAUCCAGAUUCGAAUAUCCUGACCUAAAAAUUAAGAUGUCCGCAUUUGGUUUUGACGGAUCCAAUAUUUUACUAGGCGGAUUCGGAUUCGGACACUCCGGAUAUCAGAGCGG
rnacentral:lncRNA from 1 species